rnacentral:rRNA from 1 species
GACGAACGCUGGCGGCGUGCUUAACACAUGCAAGUCGAACGGAAAGGCCCUGCUUUUGUGGGGUGCUCGAGUGGCGAACGGGUGAGUAACACGUGAGUAACCUUCCCUUGCCUUUUGGAUAACUUCAGGAAACUGUGGCUCAUACCGGAUAGGAGCUCCUGCUGCAUGGUGGGGGUUGGAAUGUUUCGGCGGUUGGGGAUGGACUCGGGGCUUAUCAGCUUGUUGGUGGGGUAGUGGCUUACCAAGGCUUUGACGGGUAGCCGGCCUGAGAGGGGGACCGGCAAAAUUGGGACUGAGUAACGGCCCAGACUCCUACGGGAGGAAGAGGGGGGGAAAAUUGAAAAAGGGGCGGAAGCCUGAGGAAGCAACGCGGGGUGCGGGAUGAGGGCCUUGGGGUUGUAAACCGCUUUAGCAUGUGACGAAGCGUGAGUGACGGUAAUGGGUAAAGAAGCACCGGCUAACUACGUG